GAAAUAUUCAAAUGAAUUGGACAACCGGUUGUUGGGUUGCUGCCUUCCAAUUGGUAAUUUUUAAAGAAAUUUUGCUGUUUUUGGUUAUUAUCUUGAAUACUAUUAUAGAUAGCAAUAAACUGUAAACAGCGAUAAUUUUCAUCAAAGUAAGAUCUACAAAUAAGUCAACAUGACCUAAAUGGUCAAUUGACCCCUUAAGGAGUUAUUGCCCUUUAUAGUCAAAUUUUAACAAUUUUCAUUAAUUUUGUAAAUUUAUGUAAAUUUUUACCAAAUAUAUUUCUCUGUUACUAAUGGACAAAGUUCAUUAUAGAUAUAAUUGUAAGAAGCAAGAACGUUCAGUAAAGUAAGAACUUCAAACACAUCACCAUCACCAAAAUACAAUUUUGUCAUGAAUCCAUUUGUGUCCUUUGUUUAAUAUGCACAUAGACCAAGGUGAGCG
rnacentral:lncRNA from 1 species